rnacentral:rRNA from 1 species
AGAAAAGUCUCUAUCGAGGUUAAAGGUACCCGUACCGCAAACCGACACAGGUGGGUGAGGAGAGUAUCCUAAGGCCCGCGAGAGCACUGUUGUUAAGGAACUCGGCAAAAUGACCCCGUAACUUAGGGAUAAGGGGUGCCACCAUCCGGUGGCCGCAGAGAAUAGGCCCAAGCGACUGUUUACCAAAAACAUAGGUUUCUGCUAAGUCG